GUAGGGAAUCUUCCACAAUGGGCGAAAGCCUGAUGGAGCAAUACCGCGUGAGUGAUGACAGUCGAAAGAUUGUAAAGCUCUUUUCUGGAGGAAGAAUUAUGACGGUACUCCAGGAAUAAGCACCGGCUAACUCCGUGCCAGCAGCCGCGGUAAUACGGAGGGUGCAAGCGUUACCCGGAAUUAUUGGGCGUAAAGCGUCCGCAGGUGGUUGGAUAAGUCAAAUAUUAAAUCUUGAAGCUCAACUUCAAGACUGUGUUUGAAACUAUCCGACUUGAGUUUCUCAGAGGCACGUAGAAUUCUGUGUGUAGGGGUUAAAUCCGUAGAUAUACAGAAGAAUACCAAAAGCGAAGGCAGCGUGCUGGGAGAAUACUGACACUCAUGGACGAAAGCGUAGGGAGCGAACGGGAUUAGAAACCCUGGUAGUCC
rnacentral:rRNA from 1 species